rnacentral:rRNA from 1 species
AUUGAACGCUGGCGGCAUGCCUUACACAUGCAAGUCGAACGGUAACGCGGGGCAACCUGGCGACGAGUGGCGAACGGGUGAGUAAUGCAUCGGAACGUGCCCAGUUGUGGGGGAUAACUGCUCGAAAGAGCAGCUAAUACCGCAUACGACCUGAGGGUGAAAGCGGGGGAUCGCAAGACCUCGCGCAAUUGGAGCGGCCGAUGUCGGAUUAGCUAGUUGGUGGGGUAAAGGCCCACCAAGGCGACGAUCCGUAGCUGGUCUGAGAGGACGACCAGCCACACGGGGACGGAGACACGGCCCAGACUCCUACGGGAGGCAGCAGUGGGGAAUUUUGGACAAUGGACGCAAGUCUGAUCCAGCCAUGCCGCGUGCGGGAAGAAGGCCUUCGGGUUGUAAACCGCUUUUGUCAGGGAAGAAAUCUUCUGGGUUAAUACCUCGGGAGGAUGACGGUACCUGAAGAAUAAGCACCGGCUAACUACAUGCCAGCAGCCGCCGUAAAAC